AUUGAACGCUGGCGGCAGGCCUAACACAUGCAAGUCGAACGAGUGGCGGACGGGUGAGUAAUGUCUGUGAAACUGCCUGAUGGAGGGGGUUAACUACUGGAAACGGUAGCUAAUACCGCAUACCAUCAGAUGUGUCCAGAGGGGAUUAGCUUGUUGGUGGGGUAACGGCUCACCAAGACGACGGUCCCUAGCUGGUCUGAGAGGCGGACCAGCCAAAGUGGAAUGGGGACACGGUCCAGACUCCUACGGGAGGCAGCAGUGGGGAAUAUUGCACAAGGGGCGCAAGCCUGAUGCAGCCAUGCCGCGGGUAGGAAGAAGGCCUUCGGGUUGUAAAGUACUUUCAGCGGGGAGGCGUUACCCGCAGAAGAAGCACCGGCUAACUCCGUGCCAGCAGCCGCGGUAAUUC
rnacentral:rRNA from 1 species